UACGUAGGUGGCAAGCGUCAUCCGGAAUUAUUGGGCGUAAAGCGCGCGUAGGCGGUUUCUUAAGUCUGAUGCGAAAGCCCACGGCUUAACCGUGGAGGGUCAUUGGAAACUGGGAGACUUGAGUGCAGAAGAGGAAAGUGGAAUUCCAUGUGUAGCGGUGAAAUGCGCAGAGAUAUGGAGGAACACCAGUGGCGAAGGCGGCUCUCUGGUCUGUAACUGACGCUGAUGUGCGAAAGCGUGGGUAGCAAACAGG
rnacentral:rRNA from 1 species